rnacentral:lncRNA from 1 species
UAAAUAUCAUAUCAUUGAUGAGAGCCAAAUUGGGUUUACCAAAAAAAAAAAAAAAAAAAAAAACACGACCAUCUGACCAUAUGUUCAUUCUAAAAACUAUUAUAAAUAAGUAUUGUAAUACAAAAGAAGGUAGAGUGUUUGCCUGCUUUGUUGAUUUCCAGAAGGCUUUUGAUACUGUCAUUCUCCCAGGGAUAAAACUUAAGCUAUUGAAUAUAGUUAGAGAGUAUGGUAAGAGAUCUCUUUAGAACUAAAGUUGGAGUAAAACAGGGAGACAAUUUGAGUCCAAAUUUGUUUAAAAUUUUUUAUAAAUGAACUUCCUGAUUGUGUUAAAAGUUCCCCUGAUCCAGCUGUUGUUUAUUCACGACCAGCCUAUUCUUUACUAUACAUAUGCUGAUGAUCUUGCCAUUUUUUCAACUUCAGCAAAAGGACUUCAAAGUAAACUUGAUGGAUUAAGAUCGGUGUUUGAAAAUUAAUCCCAAUAAAACCAAGGUGCUUGUAUUUAACAAAACAGGCAGACAUAUCAAACAUGAUUUUUAUUUUAAUAACAGACUUAUUGAUUGUGCUCAACAUUGUAAAUAUUAAGGAAUAACUUUUAGUGCAUCUGGAUUUUUUUCCUUCGCUCAGAGAGAAUUGUAUAAUAAGGCGUUAAAAGCCUACCAUAAGCUACGCAAGGACUUUCUGUCACUGAAUCCAAGUUUAAAAAACAGCCUUCAUGUUUUUGAGCAUACAAUAAAACCUAUUCUCUUAUAUAGUACUAAAAUUUGGGAAUAUUUCAACCCUUUCAAAAAAAAAAAAAUCUAUGACUACAAAUGUAGAUCAGGCUUAUCCUAAGAUUCUUUCAGAAAGACUACGCAUUGAAUUUUGUAAACAUUUACUUGGUGUUACCAAAAGAGAAACACAUUUUGCCAAUCUUUCUUAACUCGGUAGAUUCACUCUGUAUUUUGUCAUUGCAAAGUCUAUGAUCAGAUACUGGCACAGGCUUGACAAUUUGGGAUCAUCUUUCCACUACUAGAGGAGGCAUAUUUAGAGUCAAAAUUACUACACGAGUUAAAAAAAUUCCUUCACAGUAUGGAUCCUUAAACUUCUUUCUAAAGAAUAUUAAAGGGGUUAGCAAUUUACAUUGUUUACUAUAUGCUGAUGAUAAUGUAUUUUUUUUAAAUUUCAGCAAAAGGACUUCAGCAAACAGUAUUCAUACAUAGCUUGUAGCCAGGAUAAUAUUUAAAAGAUAGAUCUUUAUGCUUCAACUCAGCGUGCUGGUCUUUUAAAUCUGAGUACAUUCAUACAAUAUAAACAUAUAACAUAAAUAUUAUUUUCAACCUGCAUAUGUAUGUGAUAGUUGCCGCAGUACAUUUAGUUCUACCUUGUAAUAUUAUCUUAGCUACAAGGCUGGCUAUAAACUACUAAUAUUUGAUCUUACUCUUAAAUUCAAAGCGUGUAUCAUUGUAAAAUAUAUACCUGCAUAUAUGUAUGUAAUAUUUGCCGCAGUACAUUUAGUUCUACCUUGUAAUAUUAUCCUGGCUACAAGCCUGUCUACAAACUACUGAUAUUUGAUCUUACUCUUAAAUUCAACGCGUGUAGCAUUGUAAAAUAUCUCAACCUUAUUCAUACUUUCUAGGUUAACACAAUGUUCAUUGCGACACCAUGGAUUAAGUUUUUAUUCUGAACCAAUACUUAGAACAAUUAUCAAUGAUAUACCGCAAGAUCGUCAUGCAAUCGAUAAAAAAUAAAGACAACACGAUAAAAACACCAGGCAUUUGUGGAUUUUCAUUAAUCAUGAUUCACCAAAAGCCGAAUAUUUGAAAGCCAAUGGUUUAUAAAAACUGC